rnacentral:rRNA from 1 species
AGGGGUAAACUAAAUUUCCCUGUCUCCUGAAAAAUAAUAAAAAUUUACCUGUUAGUGAAGAGGCUAACAUAAAAUUAAAAGACAAGAAGACCCUAUAGAGCUUCCCGUAACCCUUACUUAUAAGGCCUACCGGUUUUGUUGGGGCGACAAGGGAGAAAAAUCAACCUCCCAUUAACUAAGGCUAAUAAGCCAAUUUCUCUACCCUUAAUAAAGGAUAAAAAAAAGCUACCUUAGGGAUAACAGGCUAAUUCUCCCUAAGAGUUCUAAUCGACGGGAGAGAUUGGCACCUCGAUGUUGGCUUAAGGUUCCUUUAUUGCGCAGAAGUAAUAUUAGGUGGUUUGUUCAACCAUUAAACCCUU